AACUUCCUACUGGGUGCACUUCGGUGCCCUAGUGGUGGUGAAGCGUGAAGCUGAAGCCCUGGUCAAUGGCGGCUGUAACUAUGGAACCUAGUAAAACUAGGAAUUGUAGUUGUAAAAUUUGGCUAAUUGCUGGAACAUCUGAGAAUCUCUAAUUACUAAUCAAUACUCUAAAUUGUAAGAAAUUUAUAAGUAUUGGGAGUGAUAAUAUUAGAGUGCAGAAAAUCAGCAGGAAAGAUCCAAAAUCUAGUUUUAAUAUCUCUAACGAAGACGCUUUUUAUAUUGUAGGCUUUGUCGAUGGAGAAGGAAGUUUUAAUAUUUCUUUCAAGAUAAGAAAAGAUUACAUUCAUAAGAUACAAGUUUAUCCUAGUUUUAAUAUCUCUCAAAAGGAGAAACGAAUUCUAGGGUGGAUACACGAAAUUCUUGAUUGCGGAACAAUUCGCAAUAGAGGAGAUGGUGUGUACUAUUAUGAAGUCCAUAGUCUUAAAGAUCUUGUUGAAAAGGUUAUUCCCUUUUUCCAGAAAUAUAAGUUGAAAACAAAGAAAAGAAAGAGUUUCUUAGUAUUUACUAAAAUAGUCAUGUUCAUAUAUCUUAAAAAGGAAUUAUCCUUUGAAGAUAUACAAAAGAUUUAUCUUUUGAGAGAACAGAUUAGAGUGGGUAGAAAAAGGAAAUAUUCGUUAAUAGAUUUAAGAAGAAUUUGGAAAUCCUCAGAGACUAUACGCCAAACUGAGUUACAUAAGUAACUUUGAUGAUAUAGUCCGACCUGCAUAGCGAUAUGCAGAGGUAUAUAGAAAUAUAUAUCCGCUUUUAGAUAUUUUCUAAAAGUUGUAACAGAAGUGAACGGUGGUAGAUAUAUAUCUACUGAGGUAUCUUUUGAUACUUCGGUUUGCUAUCAGAUAUAGGGCCGUUGUAAAAUCUAGCUAUAUGCUGGAACAUCCUAAACAACAUAAGUACUUAAAUAGUAACAAUCUUAUGUCUUUGGACAAUCAGCAGGAAAGGCUUGUAACUUCUAGUUCUGCUUUUACUAAUGAAUUGAAAUGGUUUCUCUCCGGAUUUAUAGAUGGAGAGGGAAGCUUUUGUCUUAAUAUCAAAAAUAGACAAGAUGUUAAAUAUGGUUUGAGAAUAGAACCAGCCUUUUAUGUUUAUCAACAUGAAAAGGGCAUCGAAAUAUUGGAGAUGAUAAGACAGAUGUUUGGAUGUGGAAGUAUUCACAGAAAAACAUCUCCGUAUAAUGUAUUUACAUAUCAGAUUUCUGGUAUUAAACCUUGUUAUACUAAAGUAAUCCCUUUCUUUAAGAAAUAUCCUUUGAUUGUAAAAUCAAAGGCCUUCAAUAUAUUUGAAGAAGGAGUUUCUUUUAUGAAUUCAAAGCAACAUCUAACAAGAAAUGGAAUGAUCCAUUUGGUAGAUUUAGCAUAUGAGAUUAAUCAGCAAGGAAAAGGUAAAAAGUGGAGCAAAGAGAAUAUAGUUACAAGAAUCCUCAGAGGCUAAACGCUAGACACAACUGUAGUUGUGAAGAUAUAGUCCGACCUCUACAGCAAUGUAGAGAGAUGCACGAAGGUGCGUCCACCUAAUAAUAUAUAUUAGGUCAUCUAGUAUAUUAAUAUGACUAGAUAUAAGUAACAGGAAUGCCUAAGGUAGCGUAAUACCUCGUCACUUAAUUAGUGACUUGCAUGAAAGGCGUAACGACUCUUCCUCUGUCUCGACGGCGCGCUCGGUGAAAUUGAAAUGGCUGUGAAGAUGCGGCCUACCUAUACCAGGACAAAAAGACCCCGUGGAGCUUUACUGCAACUUUGCAUUGGAAUAAAGAUUCGAAUGAAGAGAAUAGGUGGGAGACUUUGAAGUCAUCUCGUCAGGGAUGGCGGAGUCGUCAGUGUAAUACCACUCUUUUGUGUUUUUGUUUCUAACUGUUUCCAUUAUCUGGAAACUCGACAGUGCAUGGUGGGCAGUUUGACUGGGGCGGUUGCUUGCUAAAGAGUACCGCAAGCGCACUAAGGUCUCCUCAACCCGGAUGGAAAUCGGGUGAAGAGUGCAUAAGCAUAAGGAGGCUUUACUGUGAGGGAGACAUCCCGAUCAGUUACGAAAGUAGGUUUAAGUGACCCUUUGAUUGCGCGUGGAAGCGUCAUUGUUUAACGGAGAUAAGCUACCCCGGGGAUAACAGGCUAGUCUUGCCCGAUAGUUCAUAUUGACGGCAAGGUUCGGCACCUCGAUGUCGGCUCGUCGCAUCCUGGGAUUGGAUAAGAUCCCAAGGGUUGGACUGUUCGUCCAUUAAAGCGGCACGUGAGCUGGGUUCAGACCGGCGUAAGCCAGGUCGGUCUCUAUCCGGUAUAGGCGUUGUAUAUUUGAGAGAAUCGUCCCCUAGUACGAAAGGAUCGGGGAGUGAAAACCUCUGGUCUACCAGCUGUUCUACCAAGAGCAUGGCUGGGUAGCUAAGUUGCUAUUGGAUAAGCACUGAAAGCAUAUAAGUGCGAAGCCUGACCCAAGAUUAAAUAUACUUGUGUGACUUGAUCACACGGAAGGUCCGUGGGAGACUACCACGUUGAUAGGCUCUAGGUGUAAGCACAGCAAUGUGUUUAGCCAAGGAGUACUAAUAGACCAAAAGCUUUUUUG
rnacentral:rRNA from 1 species